rnacentral:siRNA from 1 species
GAGCUCUAACUAGUGGAAUGGUAC